rnacentral:rRNA from 1 species
UACGGGGGGGGCAAGCGUUGUUCGGAAUUACUGGGCGUAAAGGGCUCGUAGGCGGCCAACUAAGCCAGACGUGAAAUCCCUCGGCUUAACCGGGGAACUGCGUCUGAUACUGGAUGGCUUGAGUGUGGGAGAGGAAUGCGGAAUUCCAGGUGUAGCGGUGAAAUGCGUAGAUAUCUGGAGGAACACCGGUGGCGAAGGCGGCAUUCUGGACCAUAACUGACACUGAGAGACGAAAGCCAGGGGAGCAAACGGG